UUAGCCUGUUAGCUUAGCAGUCUCGAGUUUAAAUCAAUUACAAAUGUAACAACUGCAUCAAUGUGUGCGCAUAACAGAACGAAAGUGGUUGGGUUUUCCCUGCUUUUAUUUGACGAGACUCAAUAUUGACAUCUAAGCUGAAGCAGGAUUUGGGGCUUUACCGAUGCCGUCUCCGCACACUGACAGUGAAGGAAUGCCUACGGAAUCCGGGAAAGGACAUACGAGUUCUGAUUCGAGUAAUCUAAUCUAACCCGAGUAAUUAUGGUGGAGGAUCUGUGAUGCUGUGGGCCUGUUUCUUAUCCCAAUGUUCUAAGAAGUUUGUAAGAGUGGAUGGCAAGACUUCAUUGGUCCAGGAGAGUUGAAAUCCGAUUAUAUAUGUAUAUAUAUAUUUUUUUGC